rnacentral:pre_miRNA from 5 species
UCUUAUGGAUGAGCAAAGAAAGUGGUUUCCUGAGAUGGAAUCUAUUCGUGGUGAGGAUGCUAUGAA